ACACUUGUGCAUUGAGUUAGUUUUGCUAAGAAGUAAAUGGAUUCUGUGUCUAAGGAUAACAGCAGCUGGAAAAAAAAAUCUGUUAGCUUUCAUCAAAACCACUGAGUGCUGAGAAGAAUGGGAAAAUGUUGGACCAUGGACAGGCAGAAGGAAGAGGCUUCUACCGUGGUGGGUUGCUACUGGAUCGCCCCGGUUCAGGCAAACUGGUAGCAGCAGCAUCGGGAAGCUCUGCCCACUCGUCCAGACGUUAUCAAAUAUGCACAUGUAUAGAAGCAAACUGAUAGCAAAGUUUGAUGGAAAAGUAUAGACAUAUGAAACAAUCCAAAUCAUCUUCAAAGAAAUAAAAUUUAAAAAGGAAGAAGAAAAUAAUGCAGUACUCUUUCUGGAUAUCUUCAUCAGCUGAGGAAACAACAGCAAAUUAGAAACCUAAGUCUAUCAAAAAAAAAAAAACAUUCUCAGGAGUUGUUUACAACAUACAGUAUAAGGACUGUAAGAACCACUAUGUAGAAUAGACAAACAGAGACAAGCAGAGUGCAUGUAUGUGGAUCCAUGUGCGCACUCACACCCACACCCACCCAUCUUAACCUUAUUACCUUAUAAUCAAAUAAAUGAAAAAAUACCAUAUA